AAAGUACUUCUUACAGAGGUCUGGACAAAAUGUGAUUGAAAUUUGUACACAUUUUGUCCAUACCUUUGUAUAAAGAUGUGUUUCUUAACAUUUUCAGUCUUAAAUUUGUCAUUUUGGACCUAAAUGUGUACAAAUUUCAAUCACCUUUUGUCCAGACCUUUGUAAGAAGUGCUUC